GCCCGCACCGGGCGUGGCGGACGCCGUGCGGGUGCUGCUGCGGUCCGCGCCCCCGAGCCGGGCCCCGCGGCCGCCGGCGGAGGGCUCGGUGCCCCCAGGGCGGCCGGGGCUCCGCACCCUGUCCUGCCCGGCAGCCGGUGCGCCGCGGGCGAGCCUGGCCGCUUCGCUUCCCGGGGCGGCACAAGCGGCUGCUCCGUCUGCAGCUGUUGCGGUCGGAGCGAAUCCGUGCGGGACAGUCCCCGCCAGGCUGUGCCAGUCCCAAGGACGCUGCUGCGAUCACUUGCCUGCUCAUACACCCGGUAACCAGCCAGCAGCAAGGAGUCUGGUGCUGCCUUGAGGCAUGAAGUCUUACUGGAGUUAAUGACAGAUGGAAGGAAGGAAGGAAAACUGCAUGCCCCGGAGUUAUGAGAUAAAGACAAUUAAAGAAGUUCUACAAGAAUAUGAAGGUUAGCAGGCUUAAGCUGCAUGCUGAGAGAGAGCCCGGUUCUCCAUCGUUACAAGGAGCUUCAAGCUGGCAGUGGUGAUUCUCGGAGUCAGAAGUGUUGGGUUAAGAUCAGACAGUUGUUAUCAUAUCCGACCAUCUGCCUUAUUCCUCUGUCAGACACUGCCCCUAGUGGCAUGGAAAACUGGUGCGGUUCAGCAUUUCAACUCCUGCAAUUAAAUCUGAUAGAUUAAAACUUGUUUCUACCAUCAUGUAUAAAGAUAAAAAACAUGAUGGCACUGUCUUUCUGCACUGCUGACUUCCUCAGGAUGCUGAUGUGAGAAAAUCAGAGUAAGCUUCUGACACAUGGGUAAGUUUCAAGUAGUAAGAAACAGACGGUUUGAGAUUUGUCAACCCCGCACUAGACUUCAGAAUUGCCAGAUUGCCGUACUUCAUUUUUUGCCCGUGAACUUCUUCUGGAGAGAGAGAUAUUCAUUCACAGAUGGCAAAUCCAUGCAGGAUAGCAUAAGUAUGCUUUGAGGAUAACUGCUUACCAGCCUAGCCCAAACUCAAGGUUUCCCAAAACCAAAGCAUGCAGCUCACACCACCUAUUAAAGUCAGCUUAAUGUAACUGUCAAUGUCCCUACCGGAGUGGCACAAAUCUCUUGUAAUAGACAAUAUACCACAUUUCACUAAUACUUUCUAAUUAUGAGUAAUGAGACAAGGAAGUACAAAUCUUUUGUAAACAGUUAAAUUCAGUUAGGCUUUGUGGCCUUGCACUAGAUGACAUUGGAAAAGCAGGCUAUUGUAAUAGAUGACAGUGAGGAAGUAUCUUGGGUAAAUGUUUCACAAUAACCAGCCAGAGCUGGACUAGUGGUUGCUGACAUGACAACGGGACUUUCCAAACCUAAAGUUCAACUAGAGGACGAAGUGAUGAAGACAAAGAUGAUGAAGAAACAAGCACCAAGGGUCCCAAAAGACCACUACCACGUUAUUGUGCGCAUGCGGAAAUGGGUGCAGAUCUAUGUAAAGCGGUUCUUGGAAAUGCAAUGAAUAUGUAUGUUAACCAACAAUAUAAACACAGUCUGUUUAACGCUCAGGUGGGACACAUUAGGAGGAAAGAUCCCCUGUGUCUCCCAGAGCUGCAAUAAAGAAUACCUGCUUGUCAACUUAAA